GCGUACCACUCUUUCGUUGUGGUUCCGCGCGCACCGUCCACACCCUGGAUGAUCGCUCGCUACGUUUUGUUCGCC
rnacentral:sRNA from 4 species